rnacentral:rRNA from 1 species
CACGUAGGGCGCAAGCGUUGUCCGGAAUUAUUGGGCGUAAAGAGCUCGUAGGCGGCUUGUUGCGUCGACUGUGAAAACCCGCGGCUUAACCGCGGGCUUGCAGUUGAUACGGGCAGGCUAGAGUUCGGUAGGGGAGACUGGAAUUCCUGGUGUAGCGGUGAAAUGCGCAGAUAUCAGGAGGAACACCGGUGGCGAAGGCGGGUCUCUGGGCCGAUACUGACGCUGAGGAGCGAAAGCGUGGGGAGCGAACAGG